ensembl:lncRNA
UGAGAAGUGGGAUAUUGCUCCUAAUGGAUUCCAAACACCACAAAAGUUUAUUAGGAAGCAGGGCAUCGUAAAGUGCGUCGGAGGUGGGAGUGAGGGCUUUUCUGGUGUGGCAGAUGCAAAUCUAAUGACAACAUCUGGAUGACUAUACAUGACCUUGGUCAGGCUCGACUAGUUGCUUUCAGACUGUAUAUUGGCUGCUGUUUGAUUCUAAAGAACACAAUGAAUCAGUGGAUUUUCCCAUACCAGUAUUGCUAAAGGCAUAUGUGCCACAGUAUAUCUAAAUCAUGGAGCUUCAUUGUUCUGGUUAUCCACACAGUUUCUCAACUGCUUGACCAAUUCAGGAUUGCAGGGAGGUUGGAAAGUAUGUUGGCUUCCACUGGCAAAGAUUCAGGGUACAUCCUGGGCAGGUUGCCAGUCCAUCACAGGUCCAACAUAAAGAGACAAACAACUGUACAUGCUUGAAUUCACAACUAUGGACUGUGAGUAUGAACAGAUGGACUUGGAGCAAAGUGCCACAGGCG